rnacentral:lncRNA from 1 species
GACGAAGUCUACCUGCAAUAGGAGUUCGGAGGAGUCCGGUUCUCGUGGGAGCUCGGACGAAAUCGGAAAGGUGGUCGACCACCAUAGAAAUUUGGAUGGAGUCCAUCCAUCGUGGAGAUCUGUUGUUGGAAAAGUUCGGCCACUGACGAACUGACGAAGUUCUGGAAGAAAUUCGGAUUGGAGUUGAUCGAAUCCUGUUGGGAAAAAAAUCUGGAA